GCAGACACAUUCCAGCCAAUCAGCAGCAGACCCUCCCUCCCAGACCCUCCCACCUCCUGGACAGCAUCCAUUUUACAUUCAUUGUGAAGCUGCAUUCUUAGUGAGCUGUCCAGGAGGUGGGAGGGUCUGGGAGGGAGGGCCUGCUGCUGAUUGGCUGGAAUGUGUCUG